GACGGAUGAGGCAAGCGUUAUUCGGAUUUACUGGGCAUAAAGAGCGUGUAGGCGGUCGGGUAAGUCGGGUGUAAAAAUCUAUGGCUUAACCAUAGAAGGCCAUUCGAAACUAUUCGACUUGAGUACAGGAGAGGAAAGCGGAAUUCCUGGUGGAGCGGUGAAAUGCGUAGAUAUCAGGAGGAACACCGGUGGCGAAGGCGGCUUUCUGGUCUGAAACUGACGCUGAGACGCGAAAGCGUGGGGAGCAAACAGGAUUAGAUACCCCCGUAGUCC
rnacentral:rRNA from 1 species